AGCAGGGUGCUGCUUUGUCACCUCCGGUGCCUUCAGCUCCCUGAGAUUCAGGGUUUGGCAUGAUGUCAGAAUGCAGCACCCUGCUUUGUUUACUGGGAGUUGUGCUGCCUCCCAGAGGGACCUGGUCAGGCCAGAGAAAUGAGCAGACAGAACCUCAUGAUGUCUAACAAGUGGCUACCUAGCUACUCUGAGAGAGGACAGGCAGCAGUGUCAUUCAGAGGAAAUGAGUAAGCAACUGCAGAAAUGCCAAGCAGGAGGCAUAAAGAGUACAAUGUUCCAGUUCUUCUAUUCACCUGGAUCCUUGGGUCAUGACAUCUCUGUUUC